rnacentral:rRNA from 1 species
AGUGAACGCUGGCGGUAGGCCUAACACAUGCAAGUCGAACGGCAGCACAGUAAGAGCUUGCUCUUACGGGUGGCGAGUGGCGGACGGGUGAGGCAUACAUCGGAAUCUACUUUUUCGUGGGGGAUAACGUAGGGACACUUACGCUAAUACCGCAUACGACCUACGGGUGAAAGCAGGGGAUCUUCGCACCUUGCGCGAUUGAAUGAGCCGAUGUCGGAUUAGCUAGUUGGCGGGGUAAAGGCCCACCAAGGCGACGAUCCGUAGCUGGUCUGAGAGGAUGAUCAGCCACACUGGAACUGAGACACGGUCCAGACUCCUACGGGAGGCAGCAGUGGGGAAUAUUGGACAAUGGGCGCAAGCCUGAUCCAGCCAUACCGCGUGAGUGAAGAAGGCCUUCGGGUUGUAAAGCCCUUUUGUUGGGAAAGAAAAGCAGCAGGUUAAUACCCCGCUGUUCUGACGGUACCCAAAGAAUAAGCACCGGCUAACUUCGUG